rnacentral:tRNA from 1 species
GAGAGGUGGCGGAGUGGUCUAACGCGCUAGUUUGCUAAACUGGUGAGGGAAGUAAUUCCCUCCGGGGGUUCGAAUCCCCCUCUCUCC